rnacentral:lncRNA from 10 species
GGCACCGGUUCCAACGGCUCUGGUGAGGACCUGAGAUCACACACAGUGGACGGGCUUGAAACAGCAGCACGGAGGCAGUGCUCUGCCCCCUGCACCAUCUCAGGACACAGCAAGCAGAUGCUGCCUAGAAGCCAGGAAUCAGAUCCUCACCAGGAACCAAACCUAUCAGCACCAUGAUCCUGAAUGUCCAGCCUCCAGAACCGUGAGAAAAUAAACGUGUGUUGUUUAAGCCCCUCAGUAUGCGGAGUUUUGCUACGGCAGCCUGAGCCGGCUGAGACAGCCAGGAGACCAGGAGACAUGGGAACAUCCCUCGUUCACCUGAAGAGUCAGGAUCGAACAUCUGAACUGCUGAAGUGGGACGGCUCUUGCUACUGAGUGUCCUGAGAACCUGUGAUGAUCUCAGAGCUGCCAGACAAGCUCUCAUCCGGCCUGCA